GACGCUAGCGGCAGGCUUAACACAUGCAAGUCGAGGGGUAUAUUUCUUCGGAGAUAGAGACCGGCGCACGGGUGCGUAACGCGUAUGCAAUCUACCUUUUACAGAGGGAUAGCCCAGAGAAAUUUGGAUUAAUACCUCAUAGUAUAUCAACUUGGCAUGAAGCCACUAUUAAAGUCACAACGGUAAAAGAUGAGCAUGCGUCCCAUUAGCUAGUUGGUAAGGUAACGGCUUACCAAGGCUACGAUGGGUAGGGGUCCUGAGAGGGAGAUCCCCCACACUGGUACUGAGACACGGACCAGACUCCUACGGGAGGCAGCAGUGAGGAAUAUUGGACAAUGGGCGCAAGCCUGAUCCAGCCAUGCCGCGUGCAGGAUGACGGUCCUAUGGAUUGUAAACUGCUUUUAUACGAGAAGAAACACUGCUACGUGUAGCAGCUUGACGGUAUCGUAAGAAUAAGGAUCGGCUAACUCCGUGCCAGCAGCCGCGGUAAUACGGAGGAUCCAAGCGUUAUCCGGAAUCAUUGGGUUUAAAGGGUCCGUAGGCGGUUUAAUAAGUCAGUGGUGAAAGCCCAUCGCUCAACGGUGGAACGGCCAUUGAUACUGUUAGACUUGAAUUAUUAGGAAGUAACUAGAAUAUGUAGUGUAGCGGUGAAAUGCUUAGAGAUUACAUGGAAUACCAAUUGCGAAGGCAGGUUACUACUAAUUGAUUGACGCUGAUGGACGAAAGCGUGGGUAGCGAACAGGAUUAGAUACCCUGGUAGUCCACGCCGUAAACGAUGGAUACUAGCUGUUGGAAGCAAUUUCAGUGGCUAAGCGAAAGUGAUAAGUAUCCCACCUGGGGGAGUACGUUCGCAAGAAUGAAACUCAAAGGAAUUGACGGGGGCCCGCACAAGCGGUGGAGCAUGGUGGUUUAAUUCGAUGAUACGCGAGGACCUUACCAAGGCUUAAUGUAGAUUGACCGGUUGAAACAGAUCUUUCGCAAGACAUUACAGGUGCUGCAUGCUUGUCGUCAGCUCGUGCGUGAGGUGUCAGGUAGUCCUAUAACGAGCGCAACCCU
rnacentral:rRNA from 2 species